rnacentral:rRNA from 1 species
UGGGGAAUAUUGGACAAUGGGGGCAACCCUGAUCCAGCAAUGCCGCGUGCGUGAUGAAGGCCUUCGGGUUGUAAAGCGCUUUCGCCCGCGACGAUGAUGACGGUAGCGGGAGAAGAAGCCCCGGCUAACUCCGUGCCAGCAGCCGCGGUAAUACGGAGGGGGCUAGCGUUGUUCGGAAUUACUGGGCGUAAAGGGUGCGUAGGCGGCUAUCCAAGUCAGACGUGAAAGGCCUGGGCUCAACCCGGGAACUGCGUUUGAGACUGGGUGGCUGGAGUCCGGGAGAGGUGAGCGGAAUUCCCAGUGUAGAGGUGAAAUUCGUAGAUAUUGGGAAGAACACCGGUGGCGAAGGCGGCUCACUGGACCGGUACUGACGCUGAGGCACGAAAGCGUGGGGAGCAAACAG